rnacentral:rRNA from 1 species
UACGAAGGGUGCAAGCGUUACUCGGAAUUACUGGGCGUAAAGCGUGCGUAGGUGGUUUGUUAAGUCUGUUGUGAAAGCCCCGGGCUCAACCUGGGAAUGGCAAUGGAUACUGGCAGGCUAGAGUGCGGUAGAGGGUAGUGGAAUUCCCGGUGUAGCGGUGAAAUGCGUAGAGAUCGGGAGGAACACCAGUGGCGAAGGCGGCUACCUGGACCAGCACUGACACUGAGGCACGAAGGCGUGGGGAGCAAACAGGG